UAGUCCACGCCGUAAACGAUGAGUGCUAGCUGUCGGGACAUUAGUCUCGGUGGCGCAGCUAACGCAGUAAGCACUCCGCCUGGGAAGUACGGUCGCAAGAUUAAAACUCAAAGGAAUUGACGGGGACCCGCACAAGCGGUGGAGCAUGUGGUUUAAUUCGAAGCAACGCGCAGAACCUUACCCAGGCUUGACAUCCUUUGAACCAUUGGGAAACCUUUGGGUGCCACCUUUGGGUGGAACAGAGUGACAGGUGCUGCAUGACUGUCGUCAGCUCGUGCUGCGAGGUGUUCGGUUAAGUCCGGCAACGAGCGCAACCCCUGCCGUUAGUUACCAGCAUUUAGUUGGGGACUCUAGCGGGACUGCCGGUGAUAAACCGGAGGAAGGUGGGGACGACGUCAAGUCCUCAUGGCCCUUAUGUCUGGGGCUACACACGUGCUACAAUGGCAUCUACAGAGGGCAGCAAAGCCGCGAGGUGGAGCAAAUACCACAAAAGAUGCCUCAGUUCGGAGUUG
rnacentral:rRNA from 1 species